AACCAGUCUAAUACAAUCACGCGGGGAAUCCAAAAUUUUAUUUUUUUGCGCACGAAGGCAAUGUGCUCCCUAAUCGAAAAUACAAAAGGUUCUUCCUAUGUUUUUGACGGAGAAUCUUACAGAGGGAUAAACAUUGUUCGAAGGCAAUCUGCUCCACCAUCGACUCCUCGGUUGAGCUUAACACCACAGAUGUGGGUCAGUCCAUCUUUAUGGAUAAAAGUAAUGAGUUGAAGGAGAUCAACUUUCUUUUCUUCUACUACUGUGGAGAAUGGAUCAUGGGAGGUUUUGAUGAGGAAGAAGCUUCUUCUAGGGUUCUCUCUCACUGGAGUUGCCAACAGGUCUACUACCUCCUCUAGGGUUCUCUCUCACUGGAGAUUUUGAUGAGGAAGAAGCUUCUUAUCCACUAAUACAUCUUUCUGCAUAUCCAUAAGGAAUUGCAGUAACUACAGACUUCAGGGAUCUCUCCCAGAUUUUAGCGCCUUGGAUACUUUCCAACUAAUAGACUUGAGUAAUAACAGUUUAAGUGGAGAAAUUCCUAGCUUCCUGGGAAACCUUCCCAGCCUGAACAUGCUAAAUUUGGCAAAUAACAGCUUUAGUGGAUUAAUACCUUCCUCACUCACCAAUAAUAGAAACUUAACACUCUCUCUCCUAUUCUUCUUCUUCCUCUCCUCUCUUUCACACUCUUUUUCAUUCCUCCCCUGUCUUUCUAUUGCAGACCAGAUCAGACCACAGCGAUUUCUUUUUUCUAUUAGAUUUCACACUCUCUCCUCAUUACUCUCUAGUUUUUUCGCUGCAGAUCUGACCAGACCACAGCAAGGUUAAGUUUCCGGAAUGGUGAGGAAGAAGUAUUGGAGAGGAAUAAGCAUGUUGAACCUCAUUUAAGAUGCUGCAAUGGUUACUACACAUACAACUCAAUUUAUAUCGGUUCACUAGUUCUCCUUGGGGAGCCAAGCUACAUAAAAUAUAUAAUGUUGUCAUGGAUUGUCUGAAUUAACCACAUUUGCUUAGGUUACCUCUGAUGUUAUCUGAUAAAGUCCAACGUUCGAAGGCACUUGUUGAGUGCGAAGGAGAAUCCAUAGAUAUGAGUGGUGAUGUUGGUGCUGUUGGUCGAGUAAUAAUCUCAGAAACACAAUCCAAAAAUCAUGAAAUGCUUUUAGCUAGAUUUAAAAGGAACCAUAUACAAAACAACCAUACUUCCAUGCCGAACAUUUUGCAUUGUAUGUCAUCCAUUGCCAUUUCAACUAUUAAAAUCAGCCAUUUGUACUUUCAAAAUUUUUAUUACUUAUAUAUUAAGAAAAGCUUACAUGAAUUGUCUGUGUUUAGAAAAUGAUUAUAUUGCUAACAAUUUACACUGAAGUCUCCUUGUUCAGGUUAGCUUUGGUCAGGCUGAAGCAAAGGUGUGCCAAUGAAUUACCUGGUCUGAAACUCUUCCAAGCCUUUCCCAAUUUAUAAAUUUCCAAUUUCAAAACUAAUAGGAUGCACUGGUCUCAACCUUCUCAUUUUCUUCCUGAUCAAUGCAUUCCUUUUACUGAUACAAAGAUAGUUUCAAGUCACCUGAUACAUAGAAAGCAAAUUCUAGUUUGAAAUACGUUGAUCCAAAACAUAAAUCUAGUUUGAAACAUUUUUCCUUUUGCCUACAUUUCAUUUCUUUUCUUAAUAAAAUCUCUUUUUCUACCAUAGACUUUUGAGAAGGGUUGCCACCUUUAGUUUUAAAUAAAAUCUCUUUAAUCUUGUUACCAAUUAUAGUUCUAAUUGGAAGAUCUUCCUAAAAAGACUUGCCAAAUGCCUAUUUAAUUAGAUGGUUGAGAUAGGCUUUUCUAAAGUUAAGAAAAAUGUUACCAAUAAUGUCAAAUCGUUUUUCUGCUCAAAGAUGUCAAGUAUUCCUCUCUAACCAUACUGAAUACAGUUCCAAAGCACAUUCCUUUUCUUAUUCAAUCCUUUCAGAUUCUAGCAACCCAAUGACUCCACUGAAUAUGGAACAAGCUAUUGGACUUCAAAAGCCUUAAAAUACUGAUGCCAAGUUCUGCUUGUGAAGCUACAAGGGUUAUUGCUAGAAAUGGGGUGGGAUGCAGGAUAGAGGGUAGCAGCUAUUUCAUGUCACCUCAAACCUCUACCAGGGUCCUCUUUUCCCCCUUAGGCCUUAACAUGCCAAAUCCUUUCAUUUUCCCAUGUAAACGUGCGGUUGCUCCUGUAGUGUAGGGGUGCAGUUGUGAUCAUGGAAAGACUAAAUGAUCUUUGGGUAUCAUUAUAAAUCUACAAUAAUGAAGAUAUAAGGAUUCUUAAAGGAUCAAGUUCAAGUAUCUUCUAAUUUUCCUAUAUAUUAUCAUGAUAUUCCCUGAGUAUUCUUUCUUUAUAGUUGCAUACAAUCAAAUAGCAUGUUGAGAGUGUCUUUCCUUUGGCCAAUUUCCUAUAGUUAUGUGCUCUGAAUUUGGCAAAUUUCCCAUUGAGAGUGUCUUUGGCAAAUUUUGAACUUACAUUGCAUCCUAGAUCCUACCCAUUACAUGUGCUUUGAAUUCACUGGUCUUACUUUGUCUACAUUAAUGUGAGUCAACAGUAUCCAUCUUCCUGCAUAGUUACUGUUUAGCUAGUGAUCCAACUUUUUAGAUUCUACCUUUUUGUAAAUUUUAGUUACUAUUCCUAUCUUUAUAGUUAAAAUACUUGAAUAUAAUUCUAAUAUUUAUAUGUUUUGAUUUGCAUGUUCAACCAAUAUGUUAAGUGGAUUUGCAUUGGAAGAUGUGUUGCAUUAUUAGAGAACUUGAUUAUUUUUUUAAGUUCUUGUACUAUUUAUAUGUCAAUUGGAUAUUGUAUUUGAACAA